rnacentral:rRNA from 1 species
CGAACGGGUGAGUAGCGCGUGAGGAACCUGCCUCAAAGAGGGGGACAACAGUUGGAAACGACUGCUAAUACCGCAUAAGCCCACGGCUCGGCAUCGAGCAGAGGGAAAAGGAGCAAUCCGCUUUGAGAUGGCCUCGCGUCCGAUUAGCUAGUUGGUGAGGUAACGGCCCACCAAGGCGACGAUCGGUAGCCGGACUGGGAGGUUGAACGGCCACAUUGGGACUGAGACACGGCCCAG